rfam:Gossypium hirsutum cultivar TM-1 chromosome 8, whole genome shotgun sequence
AAUCCAUAGUGUGGGGGCAUUUCCUUAUCAUCAACUUGAAAUGUUCCCAUGCUUUAUAAAGGGAAUCACCUUCAUAUUACUUGAAAUUAGCAAUUUCUCACCUAGGUU